UUGGAAGGUCAUCUAAUGGUAGGAUGUCAAACUUUGGCUUUGAUAAUGUGUGUUCGAUUCACACCCCUCCAGU
rnacentral:tRNA from 1 species